rnacentral:rRNA from 1 species
GACGAACGCUGGCGGCGUGCUUAACACAUGCAAGUCGAACGGAGUGUCGAACGGGUGAGUAACACGUGGGUGAUCUGCCUUGCACUUCGGGAUUAGCUUGGGAAACUGGGUCUAAUACCGGAUAGUGCAAGAUGAGCUCGCGGCCUAUCGGCUUGUUGGUGGGGUAAUGGCCUACCAAGGCGUCGACGGGUAGCCGGCCUGAGAGGGUGUACGGGCACAGUGGGACUGAGAUACGGACCAGACUGCGACGGGGGGCAGCAGUGGGGAAUAUUGCACAAUGGGCGGAAGCCUGAGGCAGCGACGCCGCGGGGGGGAUGAAGGCCUUCGGGUUGUAAACUCCUUUCGACAGGGACGCGGUACCUGCAGAAGAAGCACCGGCUAACUACGUGCCAGCAGCCGCGGUAAUAC